CCUACGGGAGGCAGCAGUGGGGAAUCUUGCGCAAUGGGCGAAAGCCUGACGCAGCCAUGCCGCGUGAAUGAUGAAGGUCUUAGGAUUGUAAAAUUCUUUCACCGGGGACGAUAAUGACGGUACCCGGAGAAGAAGCCCCGGCUAACUUCGUGCCAGCAGCCGCGGUAAUACGAAGGGGGCUAGCGUUGCUCGGAAUUACUGGGCGUAAAGGGAGCGUAGGCGGACAUUUAAGUCAGGGGUGAAAUCCCGGGGCUCAACCUCGGAAUUGCCUUUGAUACUGGGUGUCUUGAGUAUGAGAGAGGUGUGUGGAACUCCGAGUGUAGAGGUGAAAUUCGUAGAUAUUCGGAAGAACACCAGUGGCGAAGGCGACACACUGGCUCAUUACUGACGCUGGGGCUCGAAAGCGUGGGGAGCAAACAGGAUUAGAUACCCUGGUAGUCCACGCCGUAAACGAUGAUUGCUAGUUGUCGGGAUGCAUGCAUUUCGGUGACGCAGCUAACGCAUUAAGCAAUCCGCCUGGGGAGUACGGUCGCAAGAUUAAAACUCAAAUGAAUUGACGG
rnacentral:rRNA from 1 species